rnacentral:rRNA from 1 species
GAUGAACGCUGGCGGCGUGCCUAAUACAUGCAAGUCGAGCGAAUGGAUUAAGAGCUUGCUCUUAUGAAGUUAGCGGCGGACGGGUGAGUAACACGUGGGUAACCUGCCCAUAAGACUGGGAUAACUCCGGGAAACCGGGGCUAAUACCGGAUAACAUUUUGAACCGCAUGGUUCGACAUUGAAAGGCGGCUUCGGCUGUCACUUAUGGAUGGACCCGCGUCGCAUUAGCUAGUUGGUGAGGUAACGGCUCACAAAGGCAACGAUGCGUAGCCGACCUGGGAGGGUGAGCGGCCACACUGGGACUGAGACACGGCCCAGACUCCUACGGGAGGCAGCAGUAGGGAAUCUUCCGCAAUGGACGAAAGUCUGAUGGAGCAACGCCGCGUGAGUGAUGAAGGCUUUCGGGUCGUAAAACUCUGUUGUUAGGGAAGAACAAGUGCUAGUUGAAUAAGCUGGCACCUUGACGGUACCUAACCAGAAAGCCACGGCUAACUACGUGCCAGCCGCCGCAGUAA